rnacentral:rRNA from 1 species
UACGUAGGGUGCAAGCGUUGUCCGGAAUUAUUGGGCGUAAAGAGCUCGUAGGCGGUCUGUCACGUCGGCUGUGAAAACCCGAGGCUCAACCUCGGGCCUGCAGUCGAUACGGGCAAACUAGAGUACUGCAGGGGAGACUGGAAUUCCUGGUGUAGCGGUGAAAUGCGCAGAUAUCAGGAGGAACACCGGUGGCGAAGGCGGGUCUCUAGUACGGUACUGACGCUGGAGACGCGAAAGCGUGGGGAGCGAACAGG